rnacentral:tRNA from 1 species
GGGUAUAUAGCUCAGUGGUAGAGUGUGUGCUUAGCAUGCACGAGGUCCUGGGUUCAAUCACCAGUAACUUUC